UGUCGUCAGCUCGUGUCGUGAGAUGUUGGGUUAAGUCCGUAACGAGCGCAACCCUUGUCCUUAGUUACCAGCACGUUAUGGUGGGCACUCUAAGGAGACUGCCGGUGACAAACCGGAGGAAGGUGGGGAUGACGUCAAGUCAUCAUGGCCCUUACGGCCUGGGCUACACACGUGCUACAAUGGUCGGUACAAAGGGUUGCCAAGCCGCGAGGUGGAGCUAAUCCCAUAAAACCGAUCGUAGUCCGGAUCGCAGUCUGCAACUCGACUGCGUGAAGUCGGAAUCGCUAGUAAUCGUGAAUCAGAAUGUCAACGGUGAAUACGUUCCCGGGCCUU
rnacentral:rRNA from 1 species